UCCUACGGCUAGCUGCCCCUUCGUCCAGCGGACGCCAGGGGGCGGUAUUGAGGGGGGCGCGCCAGGACUUUGGGUUGAAGUGUUGAAGUUCUGCUCUGUCAUGAUGCCUUCUCUGCUCUUCAUUACUAGGUUCAUAUUGGUGUACGGUGGAGAGCAUACUGACUGGUUGCAUCACAGCCUGGUUCGACAACUCAAAUGCCCGGAAAUUAAGGAGAAUACAGUCAAUCCGUAGACUGCCCAGUCCAUCUCAGGUACUGACUUCCCCACCAUUGAAGGGAUCUAUAGGAGGAGCUGCCUCAAAAUUGCAGCUACUGCCAUCAAAGGCCCACACCACCCUGGCCAUGCUCUCAUUUUGCUACUGUCCUCAGGCAGAUACAGAAACCUAAAAUCCGUGACCAGCAGGUUCAAGAACAGCUUCAACUCAACAACAAUCAGGCUCUUGAACACUGCACAACUCAAAUCUCAGCAACAAUGAUUGUCUAUGCACUGUGUCUUUGGUUUUGGUUGCAUUACGAACUUCAGUUUUACACUAUUAUGUUACCUAGCAUUAUCCUCCGUUAGUGAUUUAUUGUAUUAUUGACUAAUAUAUAUAAUCUGUGUGUUAUUACAUUUACGCCUCUGUUUAGCUGCAGCGAGCAGGAAUUGGAGAAUUUCAUCGUUCGGUUACCGGUACAUAUGACAAUUAAGCACUCUUGAAACAGAAGGCUAUGUAGAUACGGGUCAGAUAAAAAUGGUUGGGGGAAGUUUAUAUGGAGCAUAGAUAUUGGCAUUGUUCGGUUGGGUUCAAAUGGCCUCAUUCUUUGCUGUGUGUUUCAGUAAGGGAGGUUGCGUUGCUCCAUUAAAUGCUAAAAUCGUAUUCCAUUUUAAUUAAUAAAAUAACCAUCAAUUAAUGAAAAAGAUGAACAUGCUAUGAAUUCUAAACGCACACAAAUUACUAAACCAUUUAUAACUCUCAAUUAACCUUCCCAAAGCCAAUAAAAGACUUCAUGAGCCAUAA